rnacentral:rRNA from 1 species
AGAGUUUGAUCAUGGCUCAGAACGAACGCUGGCGGCGUGCUUAACACAUGCAAGUCGAGUGCGCGGUUGUAGCAAUACAACUGGCGCACGGCGCACGGGUGCGUAACACGUGGGCAAUCUGCCCUCCGAUGGGGAAUAACCCCGCGAAAGCGGGGCUAAUUCCGCAUAACAUUCCUUGGACCUCGGUCCGGGGACUCAAAGCCGUAAGGCGUCGGAGGAGGAGCCCGCGCCCGAUUAGCUAGUUGGUGAGGUAACGGCUCACCAAGGCAAUGAUCGGUAGCUGGUCUGAGAGGAUGGCCAGCCACACUGGAACUGAGACACGGUCCAGACUCCUACGGGAGGCAGCAGUGGGGAAUCUUGCGCAAUGGGCGAAAGCCUGACGCAGCGACGCCGCGUGGGGGAUGAAGCAUCUCGGUGUGUAAACCCCUUUCGACUGGGACGAAUACCUCGCAAGAGGGGUGACGGUACCAGUAGAAGAAGCCCCGGCUAACUACGUGCCAGCAGCCGCGGUAAGACGUAGGGGGCCAGCGUUGUUCGGAAUUACUGGGUGUAAAGGGUUCGUAGGCGGUGUGGCAAGUCGGGAGUGAAAUCUAUGGGCUUAACCCAUAGGCUGCUUCCGAAACUGCCGUGCUUGAGUGUGGGAGAGGCGCGUGGAAUUGCAGGUGUAGCGGUGAAAUGCGUAGAUAUCUGCAGGAACACCCGUGGCGAAAGCGGCGCGCUGGACCACUACUGACGCUGAGGAACGAAAGCUAGGGGAGCAAACAGGAUUAGAUACCCUGGUAGUCCUAGCCCUAAACGAUCACGACUUGGGGUGCCACCCGUUCGGGUGUCGUCCCGGAGCUAACGCGUUAAGUCCUGCACCUGGGGAGUACGGUCGCAAGACUGAAACUCAAAGGAAUUGACGGGGGCCCGCACAAGCGGUGGAACAUGUGGUUCAAUUCGACGCUACGCGAGGAACCUUACCUG